ensembl:lncRNA
GCUUUUGUUUACUCUCUGGCAGAUACCUCCAGCCUUCUUCUGUUUGUUGUGGUAACCAUGUUCAGAAGGAGAAUGCCCUCGUUAGCACAGAAUAAGAGUCUGUAAUUUUUCCAAAAGAGUUUUGUUCAUCUUUAGUGACAUUGCAAGUGACUGAACAUAUUUCAACCUCUUCUUGAUGACUCAGCAUCAUCACCGUCAAUGUGGAUAAUUUUACUGCCCGACAGAGAAGCAAUGACGUCAGAGUCUGGUGAAUUAUAAGCUGCACGGGGAAAAUUCCUAGAAUACCGAGGAUAACACUGAGAAUGACAUAACGUUACUGGAACGAGGAUGUUGACAGUCUGCCGAAGGGCCCUUUGCCUGCAACUUAAAAACUGAGGACAGCACGGCAGCUGAGAGUCUAGAGACUCCAAGCUCAUCUCUGCGUCUGUUCUGCCUUCAUCUUCAGAUUUGCUAUCCAGCUGCCAAGUCCCCCCAGUGUGGAUGUCUCAUAGCACCUGAAGUUUAACUUUCCAUCCCCUCCCUUGCCUCCACUCCACACUCUCUUCCUCUAGUAUCCCCAUCUUAACAAGUAGUGCUGUAACCAGGAUUGUUUUGCCCGGUGGACAGCAAACUAAACUGUUGAGACACUGAGCUUUGGCAGCAACCGAAAAGACAGCAGAACAAAACUCAUACCCACCUCUGCAAAGUCAAGGACUAAGGGUAUUUGUAGAAUC